AUUGAACGCUGGCGGCAGGCCUAACACAUGCAAGUCGAGCGAGCGGCGGACGGGUGAGUAAUGUCUGGGAAACUGCCUGAUGGAGGGGGAUAACUACUGAAACGGUAGCUAAUACCGCAUACCAUCAGAUGUGCCCAGAUGGGAUUAGCUAGUGGGUGGGGUAACGGCUCACCUCGGCGACGAUCCCUAGCUGGUCGGAGAGGAUGACCAGCCAAACGGGAACUUAGAAACGGUCCAUACUCCUACGGGAGGCAGAGGUGGGGAAUAUUGAACAAGGGGCGAAAGCCUGAUGAAGCCAGGCCGGGUGUGGGAAGAAGGCCUUCGGGUUGUAAAGCACUUUCAGCGGGGAGGCGUUACCCGCAGAAGAAGCACCGGCUAACUCCGUGCCAGCAGCCGCGGUAAUU
rnacentral:rRNA from 1 species